GGUUGACCUCGGAUCAGGUAGGGAUACCCGCUGAACUUAAGCAUAUCAAUAAGCGGAGGAAAAGAAACCAACAGGGAUUGCCUCAGUAACGGCGAGUGAAGCGGCAAGAGCUCAAAUUUGAAAUCCGGCCCCCCUGGGGGCCUGAGUUGUAAUUUGCAGAGGAUGCUUCGGGCGCGACCGCGGUCCAAGUCCCCUGGAACGGGGCGUCGUAGAGGGUGAGAAUCCCGUCUCCGGCCGGCCGGUCUCGCCCGUGUGAAGCUCCUUCGACGAGUCGAGUUGUUUGGGAAUGCAGCUCCAAAUGGGUGGUAAAUUUCAUCUAAAGCUAAAUACUGGUCGGAGACCGAUAGCGCACAAGUAGAGUGAUCGAAAGAUGAAAAGCACUUUGAAAAGAGAGUUAAACAGCAUGUGAAAUUGUUGAAAGGGAAGCGCUUGCGACCAGAGUCGGCCGUGGGGGUUCAGCGGGCAUUCGUUGCCCGUGCAAUCCCCCGCGGCCGGGCCAGCGUCGGUUUCGACGGCCGGUCAAAGGCCCCCGGAAUGUGUCGCCUCUCGGGGCGUCUUAUAGCCGGGGGUGCAAUGCGGCCAGUCGGGACCGAGGAACGCGCUCCGGCACGGACGCUGGCUUAAUGGUCGUCAGCGACCCG
rnacentral:rRNA from 1 species